rnacentral:rRNA from 1 species
AUUGAACGCUGGCGGCAGGCCUAACACAUGCAAGUCGAGCGGCAGCGGAAAGUAGCUUGCUACUUUGCCGGCGAGCGGCGGACGGGUGAGUAAUGUCUGGGAAACUGCCUGAUGGAGGGGGGUAACUACUGGAAACGGUAGCUAAUACCGCAUGACCUCGAAAGAGCAAAGUGGGGGAUCUUCGGACCUCACGCCAUCGGAUGUGCCCAGAUGGGAUUAGCUAGUAGGUGAGGUAAUGGCUCACCUAGGCGACGAUCCCUAGCUGGUCUGAGAGGAUGACCAGCCACACUGGAACUGAGACACGGUCCAGACUCCUACGGGAGGCAGCAGUGGGGAAUAUUGCACAAUGGGCGCAAGCCUGAUGCAGCCAUGCCGCGUGUGUGAAGAAGGCCUUAGGGUUGUAAAGCACUUUCAGCGAGGAGGAAGGCAUCAUACUUAAUACGUGUGGUGAUUGACGUUACUCGCAGAAGAAGCACCGGCUAACUCCGUGCCAGCAGCCGCGGUAAUACGGAGGGUGCAAGCGUUAAUCGGAAUUACUGGGCGUAAAGCGCACGCAGGCGGUUUGUUAAGUCAGAUGUGAAAUCCCCGCGCUUAACGUGGGAACUGCAUUUGAAACUGGCAAGCUAGAGUCUUGGAGAGGAGAGUGGAAUUCCAUGUGUAGCGGUGAAAUGCGUAGAUAUAUGGAGGAACAUCCGUGGCGAAAAGCGGCUCUCUGGCUGUACUGACACUGAGCUCGAAAGCGUGGGGAGCAACAGG